UUUGCGCAUGCGCACUUAAAACAAGAUGAGUGGGCCACAACAGUUUCCGCAGCACACUGUGGUACAGGAUGAGAUGUUUCCUGAGGGACCUGGAGCAUGGGCCGACGUAGAAGAGUCCAUUCACGGAGUUGUCAUGGACUUGGCAGACAACGACAGAGCCGUUCAUUUGGAUUUCUUUAACAAAUUUGAUGAUCUGUUUGACGACGACGAUGUUUCCUAAUCGGUGGCACUGUAUUUACUGGUAUCAUAGUUAUGGUUAAAAUUAAAGAUAUGUAGCCAUUGACUUCUGCAGCAUUAGCUAAUUAAAUAUAUACAUGUCUAGAAAACAAGAUCACAUAAUCUUGCAAUUGUGGUGUUGAUGAGACAUGCACAAGGGUGUAGACAAUGAGGAGGGAUAACAAACUUCUUUCUUCAGAGUAAAGUUUGUAAGUUUUAAGUGAGGGAUAGAUUGGAGUGAUGAAGUGUGAUUGCACGUUCUGAAUUUCAU